rnacentral:rRNA from 1 species
AUACGGAGGAUCCGAGCGUUAUCCGGAUUUAUUGGGCUUAAAGGGUGCGCAGGCGGCCAUUUAAGUCAGCGGUUAAAUCGUGGGGCUCAACCCCAUUCUGCCGUUGAUACUGGGUGGCUUGAUUGCGGUCGGGGUUGGCGGAAAUCGUUGGGUAGCGGGUAAAUGCAUAGAUAUGACGAAGAACACCGAUUGCGUAGGCAGCUGACCAGAUCGCAAAUGACGCUCAUGCACGAAAGUGCGGGGAUCGAACAGGAUUAGAUACCCUGGUAGUCCGCACAGUAAACGAUGAAUACUUGUUUUCGGCGAUAUAAUGUCGGAGGCAAAGCGAAAGCGAUAAGUAUUCCACCUGGGGAGUGCGCCGGCAACGGUGAAACUCAAAUGAAUUGACGGGG